AAUGAACGUUGGCGGCGUGGAUUAGGCAUGCAAGUCGAGCGAGAAGGUUCCUUUCGGGGAACUGGAAAGCGGCAAACGGGGUAGUAAGGCGUAGGUAACUUGCCCUCAGGUCUGGGAUAGCCGUGGGAAACUGCGGGUAAUACCGGAUGAUCUCUCAGGAGCAAAGGUGUGAUUCCGCCUGAGGAGAGGCUUACGUGAUAUUAGCUUGUUGGUGAGGUAACGGCUCACCAAGGCAACGAUGUCUAGGGGGUGUGAGAGCAUGGCCCCCACCACUGGGACUGAGACACUGCCCAGACACCUACGGGUGGCUGCAGUCGAGAAUCUUCGGCAAUGGACGCAAGUCUGACCGAGCGACGCCGCGUGCGGGAUGAAGGCCCUUGGGUUGUAAACCGCUGUCAGAGGGGAUGAAAUCAUGGUUGGCUAUCCUUCCAUGUUGACAGAGCCUCAGAGGAAGCACGGGCUAAGUACG
rnacentral:rRNA from 1 species